CAGCCGUAAACUAUGCGCGUUAGGUGUAUCGGUGACCACGAGUUACCGAGGUGCCGAAGGGAAACCGUGAAACGUGCCGCCUGGGAAGUACGGUCGCAAGGCUGAAACUUAAGGGAAUUGGCGGGGGAGCACCACAACAGGUGGAGCCUGCGGUUUAAUUGGACUCAACGCCGGGAAGCUCACCGGAUAGGACAGCAGAAUGAUUGCCGGGCUGAAGACCCUGCAUGACUAGCUGAGAGGAGGUGCAUGGCGUAGACGUCU
rnacentral:rRNA from 1 species